rnacentral:rRNA from 1 species
CCUACGGGGGGCAGCAGUGGGGAAUAUUGGACAAUGGGUGGAACCCUGAUCCAGCCAUGCCGCGUGUGUGAAGAAGGCCCUCGGGUUGUAAAGCACUUUCAGUGAGGAAGAACGCCUGGUGGUUAAUACCCAUCAGGAAAGACAUCACUCACAGAAGAAGCACCGGCUAACUCCGUGCCAGCAGCCGCGGUAAUACGGAGGGUGCGAGCGUUAAUCGGAAUUACUGGGCGUAAAGCGCGCGUAGGUGGCUUGAUAAGCCGGUUGUGAAAGCCCCGGGCUCAACCUGGGAACGGCAUCCGGAACUGUCAAGCUAGAGUGCAGGAGAGGAAGGUAGAAUUCCCGGUGUAGCGGUGAAAUGCGUAGAGAUCGGGAGGAAUACCAGUGGCGAAGGCGGCCUUCUGGACUGACACUGACACUGAGGUGCGAAAGCGUGGGUAGCAAACAGGAUUAGAUACCCGUGUAGUC